rnacentral:rRNA from 1 species
UACGGAGGGGGCUAGCGUUGUUCGGAAUUACUGGGGCGUAAAGCGCACGUAGGCGGCUUUGUAAGUUAGAGGUGAAAGCCCGGGGCUCAACUCCGGAAUUGCCUUUAAGACUGCAUCGCUAGAAUUGUGGAGAGGUAAGUGGAAUUCCGAGUGUAGAGGUGAAAUUCGUAGAUAUUCGGAAGAAUACCAGUGGCGAAGGCGACUUACUGGACACAUAUUGACGCUGAGGUGCGAAAGCGUGGGGAGCAAACAGG